rnacentral:misc_RNA from 1 species
UGCUGCACAUUUGUUAGAUUGGUGG